GAGGACUGAAUGAUGAACUCAUAGUUCAACAGAUACUGAUGACGAUUUUAUCAUUAGUCUUUCGCAUUUACCUGACAGUUCCU